AGCCUAAAAUGCUAUCUAGCCCUGCUGUUCUUUGGCCAGGGAUUUCAUCAAGCAUGUUUACAUCAGAACGCCUGCUGAUCCCAGCCUCCACCUCACAGCCGUAUCCUAGUUACCACAGCGGAGCCCAGAGGUCCCUAAUUGCUCCAGCUUUCUCUCACCUGCCUGUUGGGAAACCACCUAAGCCAACACUGGGAAGAAAGACAGGGUCUCAAAAAUGACCAAAACAAGAACUGUGGACAUCCACCACCAACCAAGGUCACUAUGAAGGCAACUUCCUAUUCUGCCUGAAAAUGCGUAAAGACUCUUUGGAGAAUGUUCUUUACUCAGAGUUCUACAAAAACCAGGAUUUGGGAUCCUAGGAUCAUCUUUAAAGUCAUGAUACAGAAAACAUCCAAAGUAAAGAGGUCAAGUUCAAGAUGAGG